AGAGCUAACAUUGAGCUCGAUUUCUCUUUGAUUUUGCUUGCUCGAGCUCGUUUCCAUACAUAUUCAAGCUCCGAUGGUGUCUGUGAAGAAGAUCUGCGUCGAUAGGUCCGUAUCUCAGCCUGUACAGCUCCGAUAGCUUCUCCGGCGAUCUCUGGUCCGGAUUCUCAGGCGUCGCGAGCUCUUGUUGGUGUUGAUCAUGGCGAUUCGAUCCACUCUCUGUUUUUCAUGCACACUUCUGAUCAUCCUGGUUUGCUUCUGAUCUCUAUCAAACUUGAUGGAUCUCACUUUGAUGAUUGGGAAGCUGCGAUGAAGAUUGCUUUGGAUGCGAAGAAUAAAAUCGAUUUUGUAGAUGGAUCGAUUCCACGUCCUCUUGAAUCCGAUCUAAACUUUCGCGUUUGGUCUCGUUGUAACAGCCUUGUUAAGUCAUGGAUACUUAACUCGGUAUCAACUCAGAUCUAUAGCAUUUUGCGUUUGAAUGAUGCUACUGACGUUUGGCGUGAUUUGCAUAGUAGAUUUCACAUGACGAACUUGCCACGAACUUACAACCUCACGCAGGAGAUACAUGAUCUGUGUCAAGGCUCUCUAUCCCUCUCUGAUUAUUUCAACAAUCUGAAGACUCUGUGGAGUAGUUUGAAGAGUUGUGAAGAAGCUGAUGAUCCAUGUACGUGUGGGAAAGCAGCUCGGCUUCAUCAGAAGGCUGAGCGUGCUAAGAUUGUGAAGUUCUUGGUAGGCCUCAAUGAAUCAUAUCUGUGAUUCGUCGUCAGAUCAUAAUGAAGAAGACUCUGCCUUCUCUCACUGAGGUCUAUAACAUCCUCCAUCAAGAUUACAGUCAGAAGAGUUUCGCGACUGCCGUUUCACCUGCUUCAUUUCAGGUGUCUGAGACUUCAACUUUGCCUUCGAGUGUGUGCUAUGUUCAAACUGGAGCUCACAAAGGGAAACCUAUUUGCUCAUUCUGUAAGAAAGUCGGUCACAUUGCAGAGAGGUGUUACAAGAAUCAUGGCUUUCCUCCGGGUUAUACUCCACGAGGCAAGUCACCUGAGUAGAUGUCAUAAGGAUAUGACCUAUAACAGCUCUGUUUUGUUUUCUUUGUUGUCGGAGGAGAAAUCUUCGGUGCUUUUGUUGCCACUAGUGGUAGUGCUCUGGGAGGUGCAGGUGAUAGAGGUGAAGGGAUUGAUUUGAACGUGGAUCAUGUGUAGGAAGAUGAUCACGAGGCUGCUAAUCGUUUCACGGAUAUGGGUUGUGACCGUGCAAGCAAGGAGUUGAAAAACCAAAUCCAUAUGCAACUCCAACUGGUGAUUUUGGAAUCGGGCUUCAACAGCUUGAGCUAUAUGGAGAGGAGCAAGCGAGUGCAACUGAAGUAAAAACCUUCAACAGAGGAGGAAAUUCAUAUCUCAGUAGAAAGAAGAGAAGUCUGAUCCGAGAAAAGAAGGUGAUGAUGAGAUAAGUAAAUGGAUCUGAUCUUCCUGCCAUGUCUUGGCUGUGUCUCUUCUGCCAUAAGCAAAUCAACAAAAACGAUGGCCGUCGUCUAGCCCCAGAAACAACAGAGGAGUUAGUUUCCAGCAAUGUGGCUGUUACAUAUGUCGUUGGGACUUUUGUUUGGACUUGACAUAGCUUAAGAGAUAGUUUUAUGAGUUAUUCAUAUGUUUUUUCCUAUUUUUGUUUUAUGUUGUCUUGGUAUCUCAGUUAGGUUGACUUUUAAAAUUAUAAGUAAGUCUAUUAAGUUAAGGUACAUAUAAAUGUAAGUUCUGACUUUGUAAAAAAACCAUAAUAAAUACAUUUAUUUCUCCAAAAUUUCUAUGAAACAAUGUUGGUGUCUAUUUGCCGCAUCUAAUUCAUUUUCCUUCCAUAUAUUUUCUGAAGUAGUAUGUGAAAACAAAUUUAUAAAGACACAUCCACACAUUAGAAA